ACGCUAGCUAUAGGCUUAACACAUGCAAGUCGAGGGGAAACGGCAUUAUGUGCUUGCACAUUUUGGACGUCGACCGGCGCACGGGUGAGUAUCGCGUAUCCAACCUGCCCUUUACUUGGGGAUACCCCGUUGAAAGACGGCCUAAUACCCGAUGUAAUUCAUUGAUGGCAUCAGAUAUGAAUAAAAGAUUUAUCGGUAAAGGAUGGGGAUGCGUCUGAUUAGCUUGUUGGUGAGGUAAAGGCUCACCAAGGCGACGAUCAGUAGGGGUUCUGAGAGGAAGGUCCCCCACAUUGGAACUGAGACACGGUCCAAACUCCUACGGGAGGCAGCAGUGAGGAAUAUUGGUCAAUGGGCGCAAGCCUGAACCAGCCAAGUAGCGUGCAGGAAGACGGCCCUAUGGGUUGUAAACUGCUUUUAUACGAGAAUAAUUUGAUGCACGUGUGCGUUAUUGCAUGUAUCGUAUGAAUAAGGACCGGCUAAUUCCGUGCCAGCAGCCGCGGUAAUACGGAAGGUCCAGGCGUUAUCCGGAUUUAUUGGGUUUAAAGGGAGUGUAGGCGGUUUGUUAAGCGUGUUGUGAAAUUUAGAUGCUCAACAUUUAACUUGCAGCGCGAACUGUCAGACUUGAGUACACGCAACGUAUGCGGAAUUCAUGGUGUAGCGGUGAAAUGCUUAGAUAUCAUGAAGAACUCCGAUUGCGAAGGCAGCAUACGGGAGUGUAACUGACGCUUAAGCUCGAAGGUGCGGGUAUCGAACAGGAUUAGAUACCCUGGUAGUCCGCACAGUAAACGAUGGAUGCCCGCUGUUAGCGCCUGGCGUUAGCGGCUAAGCGAAAGCAUUAAGCAUCCCACCUGGGGAGUACGCCGGCAACGGUGAAACUCAAAGGAAUUGACGGGGGCCCGCACAA
rnacentral:rRNA from 1 species